ensembl:rRNA 5S_rRNA 5S ribosomal RNA
UCUGAACACACCUAUUCCCCUGGCAACACCCCCAGAUCUCCUCUGAUGUUGGUAGUUAAACAGGAUCAGACCAGGAUAGUACUUGGAAGGGAGAGAUUCAAACCCUGGGGUCAUCAUGG